GACGAACGCUGGCGGCGUGCUUAACACAUGCAAGUCGAACGGAAAGGCCCUGCUUUUGUGGGGUGCUCGAGUGGCGAACGGGUGAGUAACACGUGAGUAUCCUGCCCUUGACUUUGUGAUAACUUCAGGAAACUGGGGCUAAUAUCCGAUAGGAGCUCCUGCUGCAUGGUGGGGGUUGGAAAGUUUCGGUGGUUGGGGAUGUACUCGCUGCUUACCAGCUUGUUGGUGGGGUAGUGGCUUACCAAGGCUUUGAAGGGUAGCCGGCCUGAGAGGGUGACCGGCCACAUUGGGACUGAGAGACGGCACAGACUCGUACGGGAGGCAGCAGGGGGGAAUAUUGCACAAUGGGCGGAAGCCUGAUGCAGCAACGCCGCGUGCGGGAUGACGGCCUUCGGGUUGUAAACCGCUUUCGCCUGUGACGAAGCGUGAGUGACGGUAAUGGGUAAAGAAGCACCGGCUAACUACGUG
rnacentral:rRNA from 1 species